CCCUUAGAUGUUCUGAACCGCACGCGUGUUACACUGAUGCAUUCAACGAGCUUUACCUUGGCCGAGAGGCCUGGGAAAUCUUUUUAGCAUGCAUCGUGAUAGGGAUUGAUUAUUGCAAUUAUUAAUCAUGAACGAGGAAUUCCUAGUAAACGCAUUUCAUCAAAAUGCAUUGAUUACGUCCCUGCCCUUUGUACACACCGCCCGUCGCACCUACCGAUUGAGUGGUCCGGUGAAUAAUUCGGACUGCAGCACUGCUUGGUCUCCAGGCUUUGCAGCGGAAAGUUUAGUGAACCUUAUCACUUAGAGGAAGGAGAAGUCGUANCA
rnacentral:rRNA from 1 species